CUAGCGACUUCAGAGUUUGAUCCUGGCUCAGAACGAACGCUGGCGGCGCGUCUUAAGCAUGCAAGUCGAACGGCAAGAUUGGAAGCUUGCUUCUAAUCCUAGAGUGGCGGACUGGUGAGUAACGCGUAGGUGACGUACCCUUUAGUCGGGGAUAGCCGGUAGAAAUAUCGGGUAAUACCGGAUAAGGUCACACAGGUUGGAGCUGUGUGAGGAAAGGAGCUAUGGCUCCGCUAAAGGAACGGCCUGCGACCCAUCAGCUAGUAGGUGAGGUAAAGGCCCACCUAGGCAAUGACGGGUAUCCGGCCUGAGAGGGUGAACGGACACAUUGGGACUGAGAUACGGCCCAG
rnacentral:rRNA from 1 species